CCUACGGGUGGCAGCAGUGGGGAAUAUUGCACAAUGGGGGAAACCCUGAUGCAGCGACGCCGCGUGAAGGAAGAAGUAUUUCGGUAUGUAAACUUCUAUCAGCAGGGAAGAAAAUGACGGUACCUGACUAAGAAGCCCCGGCUAACUACGUGCCAGCAGCCGCGGUAAUACGUAGGGGGCAAGCGUUAUCCGGAUUUACUGGGUGUAAAGGGAGCGUAGGCGGCGAUGCAAGUCAGAAGUGAAAGCCCGGGGCUCAACUCCGGGACUGCUUUUGAAACUGUGUUGCUAGAUUGCAGGAGAGGUAAGUGGAAUUCCUAGUGUAGCGGUGAAAUGCGUAGAUAUUAGGAGGAACACCAGUGGCGAAGGCGGCUUACUAAACUAUAACUGACACUGAAGCACGAAAGCGUGGGGAUCAAACAGGAUUAGAUACCCUGGUAGUC
rnacentral:rRNA from 1 species